UGUUAAAAAUUUCAUCUAUUUAUAUCAUUAAAACUGACGUGGUUGUUAGAAUAACCGGACAAUGACAUGUAACAUGCCACAUGUAUCUCAUGCUAAUGUACAAUGAUCAAUUUUUAAUAACAAGAAUGGAGGAAAUUCGUAACA
rnacentral:pre_miRNA from 1 species